UGUUUAUGAAGAAAUUUUGAACUCAGGGAACGUUUGGGAUGCGUGAAAAUACUUUUGUGAAAAUAUUUUUACAUGAAAGAACUCUCCCAUGCGAUUAGGUGUUGGAGUUUUUUCACACCAAUUGGCAGAUAAUUGCUGUGAAAGAACUCUCACACCUAAUCGCAUGGGGGAGGUCUUUCAUGUGAAUACGAAAGUAUUUUUACAUGUACCAAACGUGCACUCAUGUACUCUACAUUUCUGUGCAUGUCA
rnacentral:pre_miRNA from 1 species